GCCCGCAUGGCUCAGUGGUUGAGCAUCAACCUAUGAACCUGGGGGUCAUGGUUAGAUUCCUGGUCAGGGCA
rfam:Myotis lucifugus cont2.62731, whole genome shotgun sequence.